AACGAACGCUGGCGGCAUGCCUAACACAUGCAAGUCGAACGAGAUCUUCGGGUCUAGUGGCGCACGGGUGCGUAACGCGUGGGAAUCUGCCCUUUGGUUCGGAAUAACAGUUGGAAACGACUGCUAAUACCGGAUGAUGACGAAAGUCCAAAGAUUUAUCGCCAGAGGAUGAGCCCGCGUAGGAUUAGCUAGUUGGUGUGGUAAAGGCGCACCAAGGCUACGAUCCUUAGCUGGUCUGAGAGGAUGAUCAGCCACACUGGGACUGGGACACGGCCCAGAAGCCUAUGGGAGGCAGCAGUGGGGAAUAUUGGACAAUGGGCGAAAGCCUGAUCCAGCAAUGCCGCGUGAGUGAUGAAGGCCUUAGGGUUGUAAAGCUCUUUUACCCGGGAUGAUAAUGACAGUACCGGGAGAAUAAGCUCCGGCUAACUCCGUGCCAGCAGCCGCCGUAA
rnacentral:rRNA from 1 species